AGUGAACGCUGGCGGUAGGCCUAACACAUGCCAGUCGAACGGCAGCACAGUAAGAGCUUGCUCUUACGGGUGGCGAGUGGCGGACGGGUGAGGAAUACAUCGGAAUCUACUUUUUCGUGGGGGAUAACGUAGGGAAACUUACGCUAAUACCGCAUACGACCUACGGGUGAAAGCAGGGGAACUUCGGACCUUGCGCGAUUGAAUGAGCCGAUGUCGGAUUAGCUAGUUGGCGGGGUAAAGGCCCACCAAGGCGACGAUCCGUAGCUGGUCUGAGAGGAUGAUCAGCCACACUGGAACUGAGACACGGUCCAGACUCCUACGGGAGGCAGCAGUGGGGAAUAUUGGACAAUGGGCGCAAGCCUGAUCCAGCCAUACCGCGUGGGUGAAGAAGGCCUUCGGGUUGUAAAGCCCUUUUGUUGGGAAAGAAAAGCAGCAGGUUAAUACCCCGCUGUUCUGACGGUACCCAAAGAAUAAGCACCGGCUAACUUCGUG
rnacentral:rRNA from 1 species